rnacentral:lncRNA from 1 species
UGGCAGCUGAGGGCAGCUGAACCACCCAAGUUACAGAUGAUAGAGAAACAGAGACGUGCACAUAUACACUGUUCUUGGCCAAGGACUACGGUGCUGAUAAACUGAGUGCAUAAGAAAGGACAAAAAUGGGAAAUGCACUUUGUUAUCUCACAAAGUGAAAUAUGGGACCACUUAGAAAUUUUCAGAUAGCAUUAUUCUGAAUUGAAAUGAACAGUUGAACCUCAUGGGGUUGAGCCCCUUGGAGCUGCAGUUCAGCAGGCACCUGCUUUCUGCAGCUAUUUUCUUGCCAUCUUGCACUGCUAUUGUUCCUCCUCAAAUACCUGCACACCUCUCUCUGCCUCGGACAUUGCUGCAGCUCCCCUGCCUUGGCUCUAACACUCGCUGUACUGGAACUCCCUCUCAAUCUCUUCCUCCUGUCGGCAUGUCCGAAUGGAUUUGGGUUAAUGAGGUCCCAGGUCCUGCACAUGACGCCACAUAAAAGGACCCUGGAAUCACGUGGCGAUGACCUGUUCUGCCACAAGGCAGGUCUUAAAAUAGGAACAAAAUGAAGAUGAAAUCCAUUCCUUGCAGAACAGAUGGUCUGGGAGAAAACAGAAGUCCCAGCAGGCAACUGGAUGGAACAUCCCUGCUCAGGAUGUAGCCCCUGUACGACAGCUUAGCAUUAGAAACAGCACCCAGCUCAUGCCUGAGCACAUUUAAUUUCAUAGCUGUAUUCCCAUAGAGAUCUGUCAGUCCUGCUGAAAUAGAGGGCAAAAAUCAGAGAAUGGGCAGUAACGCACAUGUACUCUUCAGUUUCAAAAUGGGAUAUCCUUUUACAUUUUUAUUCUAGCAGAAAGUUUAUUCCUGUGUCUGUACAGCUUGAGAGUAGGACUAGCACAGAGCUGAUAGCCCUGUUACACUCAUCCCAGACUCUCCGAUGUGGAUGCCAGACAAUGAAGAGGUCUUGCAACGCAGACAGAUUCAUCAAGUUCUCUCAGUAGUGCCACUAACCUCAUUUACUCUAUAAUUCUUGUCAAAUGGGAAACAGGUGAUUUAAAGCAAAAGGCAAAUGCAAAGCAAUGUAAUGAAUUAAACUUUGUUA